UUGUAUCUGUAUGUAUGUUUAAUUGAAAUUUGUUUAUGGACUGAUUUUAAAGUUGAAUGUUUGUUGUCAUUUAGAAGUGGUACUACUAGAGAAUGUGGAGCUAAUACUUGAAGCAUUUGAUUAUCUCCAGCUUCCAUUUGCACUAAAACAAGGAAUCAAACUUAGAGGCAUUGGGAGUGUACGAGGCUAUGGUAACGAACAAUAGGGUCUGGGAGAUCUUGUCCACUUCCUUUGGAUGAUGGAGUAGAAGUCCGGCACGGUGCACUGGGACUGCGACAGUUGCGGAUAGCAGCGACACACUGUAAACUUGAGCCUAUGGUUGCCAAUUUUGUUAAGGUUUUAUGCAGCCAGGAGAUAUAAACACUGCCUUUUAUGAGUUUCUACUGCUGCUAUUUAGA